rnacentral:rRNA from 1 species
AACGAGCGCUGGCGGCAGGCCUAACACAUGCAAGUCGAACGCUCUAGCAAUAGAGAGUGGCAGACGGGUGAGUAACGCGUGGGAAUCUUCCUAUCGGUACGGAAUAGCUCAGGGAAACUUGGGGUAAUACCGCAUACGCCCUUCGGGGGAAAGAUUUAUCGCCGAUAGAUGAGCCCGCGUCUGAUUAGCUAGUUGGUGAGGUAACGGCUCACCAAGGCGACGAUCAGUAGCUGGUCUGAGAGGAUGACCAGCCACACUGGGACUGAGACACGGCCCAGACUCCUACGGGAGGCAGCAGUGGGGAAUAUUGGACAAUGGGCGCAAGCCUGAUCCAGCCAUGCCGCGUGAGUGACGAAGGUCUUCGGAUUGUAAAACUCUUUUGGCGGGGACGAUAAUGACGGUACCCGCAGAAUAAGCCCCGGCUAACUUCGUGCCAGCAGCCGC